rnacentral:rRNA from 1 species
CAGUCGCCACGGGAAUACAGAGGGUGCGAGCGUUAAUCGGAUUUACUGGGCGUAAAGCGUGCGUAGGCGGCUUCUUAAGUCGGAUGUGAAAUCCCUGAGCUUAACUUAGGAAUUGCAUUCGAUACUGGGAAGCUAGAGUAUGGGAGAGGAUGGUAGAAUUCCAGGUGUAGCGGUGAAAUGCGUAGAGAUCUGGAGGAAUACCGAUGGCGAAGGCAGCCAUCUGGCCUAAUACUGACGCUGAGGUACGAAAGCAUGGGGAGCAAACAGGAUUAGAGACCCCGGUAGUCCCUGUCCUUAUACA